GACGAACGCUGGCGGCGUGCCUAAUACAUGCAAGUAGAACGCUGAAGGAGGAGCUUGCUUCUCUGGAUGAGUUGCGAACGGGUGAGUAACGCGUAGGUAACCUGCCUGGUAGCGGGGGAUAACUAUUGGAAACGAUAGCUAAUACCGCAUAAGAGUAGAUGUCGCAUGACAUUUGCUUAAAAGGUGCAAUUGCAUCACUACCAGAUGGACCUGCGUUGUAUUAGCUAGUUGGUGAGGUAACGGCUCACCAAGGCAACGAUACAUAGCCGACCUGAGAGGGUGAUCGGCCACAAUGGGACUGGGACACGGCCCAGACUCCUACGGGAGGCAGCAGUAGGGAAUCUUCGGCAAUGGACGGAAGUCUGACCGAGCAACGCCGCGUGAGUGAAGAAGGUUUUCGGAUCGUAAAGCUCUGUUGUAAGAGAAGAACGAGUGUGAGAGUGGAAAGUUCACACUGUGACGGUAUCUUACCAGAAAGGGACGGCUAACUACGUG
rnacentral:rRNA from 1 species